CCUGGUGGUUCAGAGGUUAAAGCGUCUGCCUGCAAUGCAGGAGACCUGGGUUUGAUUCCUGGGUCAGGA
rnacentral:tRNA from 1 species